AACCUAACCUGAGUAGCCCUAGGCGAAAGGCAUGGUUGAAAAACCAGUAAAGAAUCUUGAACCCGUCGUUCAGGCUAUCUUUACUGGUCAUGUUUGGAAACAUUCAUGGGGGCUUCGGCUCC
rnacentral:sRNA from 1 species